GCUGUUUGAAAAAUUAGCUAUAUUUAUUUGGAAAGUAUAUAGUGUGUGUGUAUAUAUAUAGAACUAUAUAGAGAGAGAGAGAGAGAGUCCGGCUGGGAUAUUAUUGAUAACACCAAGGGCUUAGUAAUAUCGAGUUUUCUACCGUUAAAUUUAACCCUUUAAUUAUUUUUACUCGUUGGAUUAUACCAUUCAACCAACAACCCACUCAACUCCAAGAUGCCCACAUCAUCCUAACUGCACAUUUCUCAAUGCAAGAGCUAAAAAAUUAAUAGCACCAAUAAUUUAAUAUUAUUGAUAGUAUUCCAGCCAAGUUCUAUAUAUAUAUAUAUGAGUUCGGCUAUUAUAUUUUUUAUGAGUACGAUUGUCUUCGUACUCAUAAGUUAUUUUUGAUGAUAGAGAUUCUGAAUAGACGAUCUAUAUCGUUAAAUAUUCUAGAAAGUAAAUUUUAUAAUUUUUUGACAUUAUUUACCUUACGAUCAACGGCCGGUAUGAAAUACUUGUUAAUUUAAAAGUGUAAAAAAAUCUAANUUCUAGAAAGUAAAUUUUAUAAUUUUUUGACAUUAUUUACCUUACGAUCAACGGCCGGUAUGAAAUACUUGUUAAUUUAAAAGUGUAAAAAAAUCUAAAUUGGUUGAAAUUUUAAUAAAAAAUUCUAU
rnacentral:lncRNA from 1 species